UUGACCUCGGAUCAGGUAGGAAUACCCGCUG
rnacentral:rRNA from 14 species